GCGGGGUGGGCGGGCGGGAGCGCGGCGCAGGCGCAGGCGCAGUCGAGGGGCCUGGCCGGCUCCCCCCCAACCCCGGAGUCCCGGGGCUCUGCUCUCCGCCGGGCUCCUGCUGCCGUCGCCGUCCGUCGCCUCUUCCUCCGUCUCCGUCCUGCUGCCUCGCAGGCCUGCUUUCCUCUUGCUCCUCCGGGGAUCUUGGCCUUGCUCCUCUUCUCUCCGGAGCGGGCAGUGACACCCCGACGCCUACCUCCCGCGUGUGUUUUGAGUGUUCUUUCUACCUCAUAAAACUGUGGCAUCCAAGAGCUGGAAGGAGUCUCAAGAAGUCAUUGCCCAUUGGACACGGGACCAGAUAUUGAAACUGUCUUUCCAAGAUUAUUGGAGCCUCCUUGCCAAACUCCAGCUUCUGCCAGAACAAACACACCCAACCAAAAUGGUUUAAAGACCUUAGCAUUCUGAGAGUCUGGGCCACGGAGGAAAAUAGGACUGGUGGUGGUGUGCCGUGGUGGUGAUGAGUGACACUCCACAGUGGCCCUGGCCAAAUGUCAACCCCACCAAGGAGCAGCGUGGUGAAGCCACAUGGAAAAUGGUGCAGGACAAACCACGUGCAAGAGGCAGCAUCUGUAGCAGGACUCACAGAUGCCCUGGAAGGGAAGGUAGGUCAUGGGACACCUCCUUGGAGACCCUUCUUCUUCUUAAGACUGUCUGUAUGUGUCAGUUCAGCUGUGGUAACAAGCAGUCCCAAAGUCUUAAGGGAUCACAAUGACAACAAACAUUUCUUUCUCACUCACAUCACACGUGGGUGACUGUCACCUAUGGCUCCCGGGGCUUUCUUUGUAUCAUGACUUCCUACUCCAGGGAAGCUGUAGGAGCUGCCCCAUUUGGGUCAGCAGGUACAGUGGUGGAAGCUCUCGCCGAUGCAUGGUAAAGUUGCUGACACCUGGAACAUACUGGCACAUUCAUUCAUAUUCCAUGGGCCUCGUCAGGUCACACGAUCGAGCCCAAAGUCAGUAAGGUGAAAAUAUGUUACUCUCAGCGGGAGGAGGCCAUGGAUACUCUCUGCCUCCCUUCCCAGAGGGGCUUUGACAGCUCAGCAGCCUCCUCUAUGCAAGCUGGGUUUGUUCUAACAAUAUUGUGAAAUAAUAGCAAAUGCAAGAGUAAUAAACAUUCCCUGGCCCCUGU
rnacentral:lncRNA from 1 species